AUUGAACGCUGGCGGCAGGCCUAACACAUGCAAGUCGAGCGGCAGCGGAAAGUAGCUUGCUACUUUGCCGGCGAGCGGCGGACGGGUGAGUAAUGUCUGGGAAACUGCCUGAUGGAGGGGGAUAACUACUGGAAACGGUAGCUAAUACCGCAUAACGUCGCAAGACCAAAGAGGGGGACCUUCGGGCCUCUUGCCAUCAGAUGUGCCCAGAUGGGAUUAGCUAGUAGGUGGGGUAACGGCUCACCUAGGCGACGAUCCCUAGCUGGUCUGAGAGAAUGCCCAGCCACACUGGAACUGAGACACGGUCCAGACUCCUACGGGAGGCAGCAGUGGGGAAUAUUGCACAAUGGGCGCAAGCCUGAUGCAGCCAUGCCGCGUGUAUGAAGAAGGCCUUCGGGUUGUAAAGUACUUUCAGCGGGGAGGAAGGUGUUGAGGUUAAUAACCUCAGCAAUUGACGUUACCCGCAAAAGAAGCACCGGCUAACUCCGUGCCAGCAGCCGCCGUAACAC
rnacentral:rRNA from 1 species